CACCCGUUUAGGUUCGGUUAAUAACACUUUUGGUUCAUAUAUGUUUUAUAACACCCAAGAAAACACAUUCAAGUUUUUUUUUUUUUUUUUCUGCUUGAUCUGCAUUUGUUCUGCUUGAUCUGCGUUUUGGGUUUGAUCUGCGUUUUCUUUAUCUGCAUACCAUUCGAAGCCUAUAUGUUUUAACAUAAUUUUUACCCAACACCGUCUCACAUAUCCAUCCUUCACACAGCCGGUCCAAAACCACCAUUGUAAGGCCUUGCCUCCCUCUUUUUUUUUAAUAUUAGGAGGUUCGGAGCUUCGGCCUGUAAUCUUCUUUAAACCCGAAAUACCAGCAUGUUAUAUUAAUUUCGUCCUAGGAGUCAUUCGAACCGGGGAUUUUUGACACAAUGGUCAUGGUCCUUCCCUCCCUCUUCACACCAUAUUACAGGCGGUUCCAGCUUGCCUCUUUUUCUCUACUGGUCUGGAAUAGAGAAACCACCUUCUCUAGCUUUGACUGCAACUUUAGUUUCACCGUCUGGACUUGUAUUGCUGCUAGAUGUUCUAUUCAACUUGCUCGUGAAUGGACAAGGACAAUCAAUCACAUGCAAGCAACUCUUGGAGGUAAAUACAAACAAUGACUCACUCUUUUCUGUUGAAUAUCUCUAUGUAAUCUGGACUGAGAGGAAUGUGCAGUUGCAUAGAUUCACUUUUUGAUCAAAUUAACGAUUCAAUUAUCUCCAGAGAGUGUCAGAUCAUUGAUCACAUCUGAAGAUUUAAAGACUCCAACACAACAACUUUGUCCAGGUUAAUGACUGGCUUCUAAUU
rnacentral:lncRNA from 1 species